rnacentral:miRNA from 1 species
AGAGGAAAAUGAGAGUGAGAAUGUGAGUGAGGAUGAGAGAGAGGAGUAACAAAGUUUUUAGUUUUUGUUUUCACUUUUGUUACUCGUCUCUCUCAUCCUCCCAUCUCAUUUUCUCUCUCAAUUUCAUUCU